AAGCCCAUUAGAAGCCAUCUGUAUAAACCGACAAAGCUCAUGCGGUCAUGCCUAUCCCCAUUCCCCAACCUGAAGAUAAGAGAACUUUAACAUGAACAGUGAAAACGCAGCAGGAAGGUGAAGGGUAAAGCUGAAAAUUAUUAUGUGACUUCCACAGAAUUGAUUUUAGUGGACGCAGAAGCUACACAUUCCAGCUUCGACUGAAAUUGAUUCUAAAACGAAGAAUCACGUUCCUAGCUUUGUGCCAAACAUCCUCCAAAUAACUUAAAAUCACGUUUGAAACUGUAA
rnacentral:lncRNA from 1 species